AUCAUAUGACAUUCUUCCUGAGAUCAAUACUUUCAUUUUCUAGUCUUCGUAUUCAUUGGAGAAGACGCCUUACGAAAAUUUCGAUAAAAUUGUGCAAAGCAUUUUCAUCAAAAGUGAAUCAAGAGCGCCGACGACGACGUUGAUAACGUUGAUCAAGAAUUAGACAGUGUUUUAUGUACUGAACAAGGAUGAGAAGACCAAUUUGAUUUUUAAGUCAACACAGAAGCGUUUUGUUAACUUCCGUAGUUUUUGUUGAGUGGUGUGUGAGUAUGAGCCAAUGUAAGGAAGUUUGAAAUAGUAUAUGUUUUGUUUGUUUUGGUUAGGUUCGUCUGAUGCUUGUGUGUCUGAUUGUAUUUUGUCGUUAAAUGUAAUUUAAUACACUUAACGAUAGUCACAUACAUAUAUAUAUAUCCUGUAAAUAGCUAAUCACCUUCAUUCGAUGUACUGAAGAUGGCAUAAGCAUGCCGAAACAUGUUUACGUUAAAAAAACUCGUCGUUCAUUUAAAAUGUCUGAUAUCUAUCGUGCUUUUAAGAAAUUAUAAUUUAUAUCUGUUGAUUUGCAACUGAAACAACAUACUAAAGUCAAUAUUUUAUAUGUGUUCUUCAUCUUUUGUAACAUAUCAAUGAUUAUAGACAAUGUAUGGUAGCUAAAUAUAAUAUUUUUAUAAGA